rnacentral:rRNA from 1 species
UACAGAGGGUGCGAGCGUUGUUCGGAAUUAUUGGGCGUAAAGGGCGCGUAGGCGGUGCGGUAAGUCACCUGUGAAAUCUCCUGGCUCAACUGGGAGCUUGCAGGCGAAACUGCCGUGCUGGAGUGUGGGAGAGGUGCGUGGAAUUCCUGGUGUAGCGGUGAAAUGCGUAGAUAUCAGGAGGAACACCGGUGGCGAAGGCGGGUCUCUGGGCCGAAACUGACGCUGAGGAGCGAAAGCGUGGGGAGCAAACAGG